rnacentral:rRNA from 1 species
GAUUAACGCUAGCGGCAGGCCUAAUACAUGCAAGUCGAACGGCAGCGGGUCCAGCAAUGGAUGCCGGCGAGUGGCGCACGGGUGCGUAACGCGUAUGCAACCUACCUUUGACUGGGGGAUAGCCCCGAGAAAUCGGGAUUAAUACCCCAUAAUAUUAUGAAGUGGCAUCUCUUUAUAAUUAAAGCUCCGGCGGUCUUAGAUGGGCAUGCGUGACAUUAGCUUGUUGGUGAGGUAACGGCUCACCAAGGCGACGAUGUCUAGGGGUUCUGAGAGGAUUUUCCCCCACACUGGUACUGAGACACGGACCAGACUCCUACGGGAGGCAGCAGUAAGGAAUAUUGGGCAAUGGGCGCAAGCCUGACCCAGCCAUGCCGCGUGAAGGAUGACGGCCCUAUGGGUUGUAAACUUCUUUUGUACGGGAAAAAACCCCCGGUCGUGAACCGGGGUUGAUGGUACCGUAAGAAUAAGCAUCGGCUAACUCCGUGCCAGCAGCCGCAGUAA